rnacentral:lncRNA from 1 species
UGAACAGUAUCCCCACCGAGCCAUUUUUUAUUUCUAGGAAAACACAUCUUGGAUUUGUGUUUAGGAAAACUGUGACAGUACCUGCUGGAGUUCACCGAUCUCAUGGCGUAAAUAAUCCUCUCUUCUGGCAGCCGCUUGCUCUGCACGUUGCAGUGCCAGCCUGAGGUCUCCCACCUGUAUGAGAACCCGUACACACUAGCACAGACGGUAACAAAACAUUACCCGCAACUUCCUACCUGCAUACUGUGUUGUGCGCACUUGCUGUUUAUGUAGAAUACUUCUACUAUCCAAAGAGCUUUUUCACAUGAUAGCACACAUCCCAUUCAUCAAGCAAUUCUAAACUGUAUAUGUACCCAAUAUAUACUCAGAAAACCACUGUUAGGCCAAAAAAAAAGUAUAUAAAUAGGUACAAGGCACAGCCACUGUACAAUACAGAAGGAGAGACAAUGCAUCUAAAAAUAUUCGCAAUGUAAAGCAGAAUGUGAUAGCUAUA